UGGGCUAUGGUGUAAUGGUAACACAGCAGAUUCUGGUCCUGUCGUUCCCAGUUCGAAUCUGGGUAGCCCAA
rnacentral:tRNA from 1 species